UACAGAGGAUGCAAGCGUUAUCCGGAAUGAUUGGGCGUAAAGAGUUCGUAGGUGGUUUGUUAAGUCUGAUGUUAAAGAUUGGGGCUCAACCCUGAAACUGCAUUGGAUACUGGCAGACUUGAGUGUGGUAGAGGCUAGUGGAAUUCCCAGUGUAGCGGUGAAAUGCGUAGAUAUUGGGAAGAACACCGGUGGCGUAGGCGACUAGCUGGGCCAUAACUGACACUGAGGAACGAAAGCCAGGGUAGCGAAUGGG
rnacentral:rRNA from 1 species